UUCCGGUUGAUCCUGCCGGACCUGACUGCUAUCGGAUUGAUACUAAGCCAUGCGAGUCAUUGUAGCAAUACAAGGCAUACGGCUCAGUAACGCGUAGUCAACCUAACCUAUGGACGGGAAUAACCUCGGGAAACUGAGAAUAAUGCCCGAUAGAACAUUAUGCCUGAAUGGUUUAUGUUCCAAAUGAUUUAUCCCGUAGAUGGGACUGCGGCCUAUCAGUUUGUUGGUAAGGUAAUGGCCCACCAAGACUAUUACAGGUACGGGCUCUGAGAGGAGUAGCCCGAGAUGGGUACUGAGACACGGACCCAGGCCCUAUGGGGCGCAGCAGGCGAGAAAACUUUGCAAUGUGCGAAAGCACGACAAGGUUAAUCCGAGUGAUUUGUGCUAAACGAAUCUUUUGUUAGUCCUAGAAACACUAACGAAUAAGGGGUGGGCAAGUUCUGGUGUCAGCCGCCGCGGUAAAACCAGCACCUCAAGUGGCCAGGAUGAUUAUUGGGCCUAAAGCAUCCGUAGCCGGCUCUGUAAGUUUUCGGUUAAAUCUGUACGCUUAACGUACAGGCUGCCGGGAAUACUGCAGAGCUAGGGAGUGGGAGAAGUAGACGGUACUCGGUAGGAAGUGGUAAAAUGCUUUGAUCUAUCGAUGACCACCUGUGGCGAAGGCGGUCUACUAGAACACGUCCGACGGUGAGGGAUGAAAGCUGGGGGAGCAAACCGGAUUAGAUACCCGGGUAGUCCCAGCUGUAAACUAUGCAAACUCAGUGAUGCAUUGGCUUGUGGCCAAUGCAGUGCUGCAGGGAAGCCGUUAAGUUUGCCGCCUGGGAAGUACGUACGCAAGUAUGAAACUUAAAGGAAUUGGCGGGGGAGCACCACAAGGGGUGAAGCCUGCGGUUCAAUUGGAGUCAACGCCGGG
rnacentral:rRNA from 1 species